rnacentral:rRNA from 1 species
UACGUAGGUGGCAAGCGUUGUCCGGAAUUAUUGGGCGUAAAGCGCGCGCAGGCGGUCCUUUAAGUCUGAUGUGAAAGCCCACGGCUCAACCGUGGAGGGUCAUUGGAAACUGGGGGACUUGAGUACAGAAGAGAAGAGUGGAAUUCCACGUGUAGCGGUGAAAUGCGUAGAGAUGUGGAGGAACACCAGUGGCGAAGGCGACUCUUUGGGCCGAUACUGACGCUGAGGAGCGAAAGCGUGGGGAGCGAACAGG